rnacentral:lncRNA from 1 species
AGUUAGGCUCAUUUCUUGUUUCUAGCUUUUCAGUACUUAUACUCUGAAGAACAAUCUGAGCGGUCUUGCGACUAAAUCUUUGCACAUAUCCAUAUUGACUUACAAUAAACUUAUUAGAAAUAGAAUAGCUGGGCCCGGCCAGGCGCAGUGGGUCACACCUGUAAUCCCAGCACUUUAGAUGUGCAAGGAGAAGAUUAACAUUAUGGUUUAGGAUAUGAAUGGACCCAUCUGGUUCUUUUAGAAAACCUUCAGUAGAUAAGUUUAAAAGAAAGUAGGUUCUUUGUUUAAAAUAGUUAUUUUUAUGCUUGUGUUACAUUCUAAUUAUUCCUAAAAGAAUAGAAGAAAUUAGCCAGGCGUGGUGGCGGGUGCCUGUAGUCCCAGCUACUUGGGAGGCUGAGGCAGGAGAA